rnacentral:rRNA from 1 species
UACGAAGGGGGCUAGCGUUGUUCGGAAUCACUGGGCGUAAAGCGCACGUAGGCGGAUCGUUAAGUCAGGGGUGAAAUCCCGAGGCUCAACCUCGGAACUGCCUUUGAUACUGGCGAUCUUCGAGUCCGGGAGAGGUGAGUGGAACUCCGAGUGUAGAGGUGAAAUUCGUAGAUAUUCGGAAGAACACCAGUGGCGAAGGCGGCCCCCUGGCUCGAGUACUGACACUGAGGUGCGAAAGCGU